GACAGAGGGUGCAAGCGUUAAUCGGAGUGACUGGGCGUAAAGGGUGCGUAGGUGGAUUACUAAGAGAGCUGUGAAAUACCCAGGCUUAACCUGGGGAGGUCAGCUGAGACUGGUAGUCUAGAGUACACGAGAGGAAAGCGGAAUUUCCGGUGUAGCGGUGAAAUGCGUAGAUAUCGGAAAGAACACCAGUGGCGUAGGCGGCUUUCUGGCGUGAUACUGACACUGAGGCACGAAAGCGUGGGGAGCAAACAGG
rnacentral:misc_RNA from 1 species